UGCCGAGAAAAGCCUCUAGAUAGAAAAUAGGUGCCCGUACCGCAAACCGACACAGGUAGUCAAGAUGAGAAUUCUAAGGUGAGCGAGCGAACUCUCGUUAAGGAACUCGGCAAAAUGACCCCGUAACUUCGGGAGAAGGGGUGCUCUUUAGGGUUAACGCCCAGAAGAGCCGCAGUGAAUAGGCCCAAGCGACUGUUUAUCAAAAACACAGGUCUCUGCUAAACCGUAAGGUGAUGUAUAGGGGCUGACGCCUGCCCGGUGCUGGAAGGUUAAGAGGAGUGGUUAGCUUCUGCGAAGCUACGAAUCGAAGCCCCAGUAAACGGCGGCCGUAACUAUAACGGUCCUAAGGUAGCGAAAUUCCUUGUCGGGUAAGUUCCGACCCGCACGAAAGGCGUAACGAUUUGGGCACUGUCUCAACGAGAGACUCGGUGAAAUCAUAGUACCUGUGAAGAUGCAGGUUACCCGCGACAGGACGGAAAGACCCCGUGGAGCUUUACUGUAGCCUGAUAUUGAAAUUCGGCACAGCUUGUACAGGAUAGGUAGGAG
rnacentral:rRNA from 1 species